CCUUGCAUAACAAGCACAAUGCGAGGACUGGGUCAAAUUUCAAAAGGUCUGAUGACUUUUACACAUCGCUCUACGCUUAUUCAGCAGGCCAAAUUUACAUAUGGACUUCCCAAGUACCGCAUGCCGAAAAACAUAAAGUACCUUCACGGUGUGGUGCUCAUGAUCAUCAUAACGGGGCCCAUGUUUUACUACUGCAAGCAAUUCAAGAAACUUACAAUGAACAUUGCAGCUAACAAGUGAUUGCUGAAGGUGGUGUGGGGAAAUACUCGAUGGACCAAUAGUUAAAAGAAACAGAACUGUGUUAUUAUAAUAGAAAAAAAAGAAAUUGAUCUCAAUCUUAUACCAAAAACCCAAGCUUAAAAUUUAUUAGAAAAUUAAAGUAUGUGUAAGUGUAUAGUAUACUGUAUUUAUAAAAUUCAAAACAUAUGUAAUGAUGUAUUUCCCAAUAAAAUAAUUUAGAAUGA